UGUCUUCGGACAGUGGAGACCGGCGCACGGGUGCGUAACACGUAUACAACCUACCUUUUACAGGGGGAUAGCUCAGAGAAAUCUGAAUUAAUACCCCAUAAUAUUACACUUUGGCAUCAUUGUGUGAUUAAAGCUCCGGCGGUAAUUGAUGGGUAUGCGUUGCAUUAGCUAGUUGGUAAGGUAACGGCUUACCAAGGCUACGAUGCAUAGGGGGUCUGAGAGGAUGAUCCCCCACACUGGUACUGAGACACGGACCAGACUCCUACGGGAGGCAGCAGUAGGGAAUAUUGGGCAAUGGACGAGAGUCUGACCCAGCCAUGCCGCGUGCAGGAUGACGGUCCUAUGGAUUGUAAACUGCUUUUAUAUGAGAAGAAAGAAGAUGGAUGCGUCCGAGGCUGACGGUAUCAUAUGAAUAAGGAUCGGCUAACUUCGUGCCAGCAGCCGCGGUAAG
rnacentral:rRNA from 1 species